rnacentral:rRNA from 1 species
GACGAACGCUGGCGGCGUGCCUAAUACAUGAAAGUCGAGCGGACUUGACAGAGCUUGCUCUGUUCAAGUUAGCGGCGGACGGGUGAGUAACACGUGGGCAACCUGCCCUGCAGAUUGGGAUAACUCCGGGAAACCGGGGCUAAUACCGAAUAACAUUGAAAACCUCAUGGUUUUCUUUUAAAAGGCGGCUUCGGCUGUCACUGCAGGAUGGGCCCGCGGCGCAUUAGCUAGUUUGUGAGGUAACGGCUCACCAAGGGGACGUUGGGUAGCCGACCUGAGAGGGUGAUCGGCCGCACUGGGACUGAGACACGGCCCAGACUCCUACGGGAGGCAGCAGUAGGGAAUCGUCCGCAAUGGACGAAAGUCUGACGGAGCAACGCCGCGUGAGUGAAGAAGGUUUUCGGAUCGUAAAACUCUGUUGUUAGGGAAGAACAAGUAUCGGAGUAACUGCCGGUACCUUGACGGUACCUGACCAGAAAGCCACGGCUAACUACGUGCCAGCCGCCGCGGUAAAAC